CCUACGGGAGGCAGCAGUGAGGAAUAUUGGUCAAUGGACGAGAGUCUGAACCAGCCAAGUAGCGUGAAGGAUGACUGCCCUAUGGGUUGUAAACUUCUUUUAUAUGGGAAUAAAACGUUCCACGUGUGGGAUUUUGUAUGUACCAUAUGAAUAAGGAUCGGCUAACUCCGUGCCAGCAGCCGCGGUAAUACGGAGGAUCCGAGCGUUAUCCGGAUUUAUUGGGUUUAAAGGGAGCGUAGGUGGAUUGUUAAGUCAGUUGUGAAAGUUUGCGGCUCAACCGUAAAAUUGCAGUUGAAACUUGCAGUCUUGAGUACAGUAGAGGUGGGCGGAAUUCGUGGUGUAGCGGUGAAAUGCUUAGAUAUCACGAAGAACUCCGAUUGCGAAGGCAGUUCACUGGACUGCAACUGACACUGAGGCUCGAAAGUGUGGGUAUCAAACAGGAUUAGAUACCCGAGUAGUC
rnacentral:rRNA from 1 species